rnacentral:rRNA from 1 species
UACGUAGGGUGCGAGCGUUGUCCGGAAUUAUUGGGCGUAAAGAGCUUGUAGGCGGUUUUCUAAGUUUGGUGUGAAAUCUCCCGGCUCAACUGGGAGGGUGCGCCGAAGACUGGAAGGCUUGAGUAUGGGAGAGGUAAGCGGAAUUCCUGGUGUAGCGGUGAAAUGCGUAGAUAUCAGGAAGAACACCAAUGGCGAAGGCAGCUCUCUGGGACGGUACUGACGCUGAGACUCGAAAGCGUGGGGAGCGAACAGG